AGCAGCGGCGGUAAUUCCAGCUCCAAUAGCGUAUAUUUAAGUUGUUGCAGUUAAAAAGCUCGUAGUUGGACCUUGGGUUGGGUCGACCGGUCCGCCCUUCGGGUGAGUACUGUCUGUGGUCGGGUCCUACCUUCUGGCGAAGCGUCAUGGCCUUAACCGGCCGUGGCGGGGAACCAGGACUUUUACUGUGAAAAAAUUAGAGUGUUCAAAGCAGGCAAUCGCUUGGAUACAUUAGCAUGGAAUAAUGGAAUAGGACAAUGGUUCUAUUUGUUGGUUUCUAGGACCGUUGUAAUGAUUAAUAGGGAUAGUUGGGGGCAUUAGUAUUCAAUUGUCAGAGGUGAAAUUCUUGGAUUUAUUGAAGACUAACUACUGCGAAAGCAUUUGCCAAGGAUGUUUUCAUUAAUCAAGAACGAAAGUUAGGGGAUCGAAGACGAUCAGAUACCGUCGUAGUCUUAACCAUAAACUAUGCCGACUAGGAAUCGGGCGAUGUUGACAAAAUGACGC
rnacentral:rRNA from 1 species